AAAUGGUAACUAAAUCACAUAUACCCGCUGCAAAUACUCCUGCUCGUAUUGAAAUACCACAAAAUGGUGGAACGGCAGUUGAUACACGUGAAUCAGGAAAACGUUUAAAGCGCGGUAGACCUAUUGGUUCAAAGGAUAAACUUCCUAGAAAACGUAAGGAAUGUGAAAAGCAUGAUACUCCCAAAAUAACAGAAAAUAUUUUGGACGAAGAAAAUUGUGAAUCUAAUGACAAUAUAAAGCAUCUUGAAUCUGAAGGAAAUCAUGAGAUUUCUAUCAAUUACAUCCAUAAUGGAAAGAUAUGGAAACGAAAUGAGAUGGAUGAUAUUGAUGACGUUUUCUCAUACCUUUUAGCAAAGGAAAUAAAUGAAGAAAACGAAGAUCCAGAACCAAAGUCUGUAUAUGAAUGUCAAAAGAGACAUGACUGGAUAAAAUGGAAAGAUGCAAUUCAAGUCUAAUUAGAUUCGCUUAACAAACGAAAUGUAUUCGGAACUAUUGUGCUCACACCCAAAGAUGUAAAACCAGUUGGGUACAAAUGGGUGUUUGUCCGAAAAAGAAAUGAGAAAAACGAGAUUACAAGAUACAAAGCUCGUCUCGUAGCCCAAGGUUUCUCUCAAAGGCCAGGAAUUGAUUAUGAGGAAACUUAUUCUCCUGUCAUGGACACAAUCACAUUUAGAUUCCUGAUGAGCCUAGCGGCCAAUGAAAAUUUAGAAAUGCGUCUCAUGGAUGUCGUUACGGCAUAUUUAUAUGGAUCAUUAGAUACUGAUAUCUAUAUGAGAAUCCCAGAUGGAUUUAAAAUGCCAGAAACGUUAAGUUCCAAACCUAAAGAGUUAUGUGCAAUAAAAUUGCAAAGAUCAUUAUAUGGGUUAAAACAAUCUGGACGAAUGUGGUAUAAUCGUCUCAGCGAACACUUAACAAAAGAAGGAUACACGAAUGAUCCUAUAUGCCCUUGUGUUUUCAUAAAGAAAACAACAUCCGGAUUUGUGAUAAUCGCGGUGUACGUUGAUGAUCUUAAUAUUAUUGGAACUCAAAACGAAAUCCAAAAGGCAUCAAACUAUCUGAAAGGAGAAUUUGAGAUGAAAGAUCUCGGCCAGACAAAAUAUUGUCUAGGAUUACAAAUUGAGCAUUCUCGAAAGGGUAUAUUUGUACACCAGUCUACAUAUACCAAACGAGUAUUGAAACGCUUUAACAUGGAUAAAGCAACUCCUCUUAGCACCCCGAUGGUCGUUAGAUCACUUAAUGUUGAAAAUGAUCCGUUUCGACCAUCUGAGGAAAAUGAAGAAAUACUUGGUCCUGAAACUCCAUACUUAAGUGCAAUUGGAGCUCUUAUGUAUCUUGCAAAUUGUACUCGACCUGACAUAUCUUUUGCCAUUAAUCUUUUAGCGAGAUUCAGUUCGUCUCCUACGCGAAGACAUUGGAAUGGAAUUAAACAUGUCUUUUGUUACCUUCAAGGAACGACUGAUUUAGGCUUGUUUUAUCCUAAAAGUUCAAAAGGUCAAAUGAUUGGUUUUGCAGAUGCAGGUUAUUUGUCAGAUCCACACAAAGCUCGAUCCCAGACAGGAUAUGUUUUUACAAUUGGAGGCACCGCCAUAUCUUGGCGUUCUCAGAAGCAGACACUUGUUGCUACUUCUUCAAAUCACGCUGAGAUCAUUGCACUCCAUGAAGCAAGUAGAGAAUGUGUAUGGCUAAGAUCAAUAAGCCGACACAUCUGUUCAAGCAGUGGGAUUAACGAAAAUACGGAGCCAACUAUUCUAUAUGAAGAUAACGCGGCAUGUGUUGCUCAAACGAAGGAAGGAUAUAUCAAAAGCGAUAGAACCAAACAUAUACCUCCGAAGUUCUUCUCAUACACUCAAGAGCUCGAGAAGAAUAAAGAGAUUGAAGUAAGAUAUGUUCGAUCAUGCGACAAUGCAGCCGACCUCUUCACAAAAUCACUCCCUACCUCGGUAUUCAGAAAACACAUCCAUAACAUUGGAAUGCGUAAUCAGAAGGAUAUAUGACUGCUUAAUCGAGGGGGAGCUUACGUAGUUGUACUCUUUUUACCUUGCUAUGGUUUUUCCCAUUGGGUUUUCCUAAAAAGGUUUUUAACGAGGCAACAAAGACAUUAAGCGAGAGCGGAUAGUGACACCGGCCCCCAAGGGGGAGUGUCAUGAAAGUCAUAUAGAGACAGCGUCGAAUAUGUUGAAAAUAUAAAGGAUGUGGGGUCCGCUGCACUAUUUGCACAGUAAAUUUCUUUUCUAUAUAUACGAUCGAUUUCGAUCAUCUGUAAGAUCAUCAUUCACUCUUCUCUACUCUCUAUAAUAAACUCUUUCUAUCAGUGUUAAAAAUUCUACGGAUAUAAAAUUUGCCCUUAUUUAAAUCCCCGCGAUACAAUAAAAUUAUGGUUCCUUUUAUAACAAACAUGACUUUUUUUGUAACCAUGGAGAUUCAAAAAGCUUUCUUAGUGCAAAUAUUAAUCCUACGAAACUUUGUAUAUAGGUACACAACUAAUCCACUAAGUAGCACGGCUGCGUGGCCAAAUUUCAAGCCAUCGCUAUGACUUUUUGUUUUUUGUUUUUUUUUGUAACAAUGUUAAAUCUUUAUUACCAUUUUCAAGUUUUAGAUAGAACUACAAGGGAUACAAGGAACAGAAGAUGCAAGAAAUUAAGCUAAACAACAACUCAAUCUAAGCAAAACAAGGCUAACUACAACUACAAGCAAAGCAACAACAAGACCAUAUACUACACCAAAGUCAUCACAAACUCUUCCCACAAAAUUGGAACCACAGUUAAAACGAGAACUGAACCCGGUAGAUUUGGCAGUACCCGCUGAUCAGUUCUUAAUGAUUAGCUCCUCAAGAACAGCUCGAGAGAGACCUCCUUGUCGGCAGCAACCAUAGACAGUGGGCAACGCUGAGCAAGCUCACCCGCGUAGACAGAGACGAGCUUUACUUGGAAAGAAAGAGCACCCGAGAUCACCACACGCCAUGGACCUUCACCAAGAGACAGAGAAAGCCAGCACCACUUCAGAGAAGUGGACAUGAGACAGCUCUAGAUCAUACCCCUGAAAGCUAACUGGCUCAGCACGAGCGCCACCGAGACAGAGAGUUACGGUUGACAAGACCAUCAACAAACCGCCUCUCUCGCACUCACCACGGAGAACCCGCAGCAGAACCUCCUAGCUUGGGACAGUAUCUCUGGGGCCCGUCCGAGAGCUUGACUGACCGGCCUUAAAACACAAGCCGUCGGGAUCUAAGAAAAACAAGCGGAAGAACACCGAACCUCCACCGUCAGACAAGACCCAACACCGGUGCAAGCCAAGCGAGCUAGCUCACCCACCACGAGAAGGAGGAGCAAGGCAGCGAGAAAUGGGAACAAACCACUUCGAACGGUCAGAUCUGACACCAAAUCCAGACUGCCGCUGCCGUACUCAACCAAAGAAACCUCUCACCAACACCGCCUCCAUGCUUCACUGAAACUCCGAGCAAAAACCGCCAGAUCUGAAACCGCGGUGGCGAAGAAGCUUAGAGCUGCGAGAAAAGAAGCACAAAGGAAAAGAAUUGAAGAGAAGCAAAGAAGGAGAAAAACAAAAGGGAGGGGGGGGCAGCCGGAAGCGGAGAGGAAGCCGCCGGCCACCCAAAACACAGAUCUAGAUCUAGGGUUUUUUUGGGUUCUUAGAGAUGGAAGAGAGGAAAAAGGAGGUAGAGAGAGAAAGCUCUUCUCGCCCUAAAGUUGUCGUCGCGUGUGAAAAUGUAUUCACUUUUU
rnacentral:lncRNA from 1 species